rnacentral:rRNA from 1 species
UACGUAGGGUGCAGGCGUUAAUCGGAAUUACUGGGCGUAAAGCGUGCGCAGGCGGUUUGCUAAGACAGGCGUGAAAUCCCCGGGCUUAACCUGGGAACUGCGCUUGUUACUGGCAAGCUAGAGUGUGGCAGAGGGGGGUGGAAUUCCACGUGUAGCAGUGAAAUGCGUAGAUAUCAAGCGGAACACCGGUGGCGAAGGCGGCCUUCUGGACGAUGACUGACGCUGAGACGCGAAAGCGUGGGGAGCAAACAGG